ACCCGGAGGACCCCCAGUGGAAAGCUGCACGGGAAUUGUGGCUGCGGUUCUGUGCACGGCGAGAAAGGCGAUAAGCUACCUGUUGGCAGAGAAAGAUGAGAAAAUUGAAGAUCAGCAUUGCUUCAGAUGACCUAGGAGUGUGUGGAAGAAGUCACCCUGCUGUCAGAAAUGUAAGACUCGGUUUCCAGGUCUCCGGGGGCACGGAAGAAGCCCCUCUCCAGAAAGGAUGGGUUAUUUGAAGUGACGCCCAGGACCGUUGGCAUUGUCCUUUCCUAUGCUUACAUUUUCAGCCUCAUUGUUGCACCUAUCUCAAAAUAUUCCUGACACUCAUCCCAACCUCAGAUUGCAGUGCGUAUUCCACCUGCAGCAAGGUUUGUAAUGAAAUCCGGCAAUAAAGAAGCAUUCAUCCUGCUCUGGCACAAAUGUAUCAACAGCUUCAUAAUUGUCUUUCAAUAGGAUUACUCUCCUAUGCAGCCCCGUGUGUUUUAUGUUUGCCUCGACACACUGUAUUGUGAUGAAGUUGACCCAUAUCUCACACCAUGGAUGAUUAGUGACCUAAGAAGGAAGUCCAGAAACUCUGAAAAGAGAAACACAAACCCAAAGCUUCAAGACCUCGUUUUUCACAAUGGAGACCCAGAUAUGGGAUCACAAGCUUAGCAGCAAAAGGAAGUAUAGAUACAUUGGGCUUCAUAAAAAUCAAAGACUUGGGGGGGGGUGUAAAGGGAAGCUGAUAUCAAGGAGUUCAAGAAGGAAGAAAAUGUUUUGAAACUGAUUGUAGUAGCAACUGUACAAGACUGUUUGGUGCAAUUGAACUGUGGAAUGAUAUGAUAGCCGUAAGAGCUUCCAAUAAAAUGGUUUUGGGGGAAAAAAAAAAAAACUUUUGUACAUCAAAGGACCUUGUCAAAAAGUGAAGGGGCAACCUACAG